rnacentral:rRNA from 1 species
GACGAACGCUGGCGGCGUGCUUAACACAUGCAAGUCGAACGGAAAGGCCCCUUUGGGGGUCCUCGAGUGGCGAACGGGUGAGUAACACGUGAGUAACCUGCCCUUGACUUCGGGAUAACUUCAGGAAACUGGGGCUAAUACCGGAUAGGAAUCCUUUCUGCAUGGUGGGGGUUGGAAAGCUUCGGCGGUUUUGGAUGGACUCGCGGCGUAUCAGCUUGUUGGUGGGGUAGUGGCUUACCAAGGCUUCGUCGGGUAGCCGGCCUGAGAGGGCGACCGGCCACAUUGGGACUGAGAUACGGCCCAGACACCGACUGGUGGCAGCAGGGGGGAAUAUUGCACAAUGGGCGGAGGCCUGAUGCAGCAACGCCGCGUGCGGGAGGACGGCCUUCGGGUGGUAAACCGCAUUCAGCAGGGGCGAAGCUUGUGGUGACGGUACCUGAAGAAGAAGCACCGGCUAACUACGUG